UACGAAGGGGGCUAGCGUUGCUCGGAAUUACUGGGCGUAAAGCGCACGUAGGCGGCUUCUUAAGUCGGUGGUGAAAUCCUGGAGCUCAACUCCAGAACUGCCUUCGAUACUGGGAAGCUCGAGUCCGGGAGAGGUGAGUGGAUCUGCGAGUGUAGAGGUGAAAUUCGUAGAUAUUCGCAAGAACACCAGUGGCGAAGGCGGCUCACUGACCCGGUACUGACGCUGAGGUGCGAAAGCGUGGGGAGCAAACAGG
rnacentral:rRNA from 1 species